CGCACAUUGCGCCUCUUGGUAUUCCUCGAGGCAUGCCUAUUCGAGCGUCGUUUCGACCCUCAAGCGCAAGCUUGGUGUUGGGGACUGCCCCUGUGAUAUGGUGGCAGCCCUUGAAUCCAUCGGCGGUGCCGGUGCAGCCUGGAGCGCAGCAGUCAUGCAGCUUCCUAGCUCACCUUCACCCGCCGAACAACCCAACCAUUCUUUACGUCGACCUCGAAUUAGGUAGGGAUACCCGCUGAACUUAA
rnacentral:misc_RNA from 1 species